AUGAUCAGCAUUAGUGACUCUCAGACUCCUCCAGUCCACAGUAGCAACAGACCCUCCGUGUCCCUGCUCCCCCCCUCCUCUCUGCAGCUGUCUGAGGGAUCCGCCUCGCUGCUCUGCCUGCUGUCUGGCUACUCUCCACAGGGGGCGCAGGUGAGCUGGAGAGUGGACAGCUCAGAGGUGAAGGAGGGUGUUCUGACCAGCGUAGAAGAAGAGAAGAACAGCCAAUACAGCCGCAGCAGCACCCUGACCCUCAGCAAAGCACUCUGGGAAAAGGGGGAGGAGUUUGUCUGUACGGUCUCCCACGACAACGUGGACCAGCGAGCCUCGUUCCUAAAGAGCCACUGUGAAGGCUAGCAGCUCCAAGAUAGAGCUGACCAUAGAGCUGCUUUCACAUGCAGCUCCAAUAGAGUUUAAACUCUACACAGUGCUGAUAUUUCUGUCUGUACUCUGUUCAGUGUCCUGUUGCUGUAGCUGUGCUUUUGCUGAGCUGAAAUAAAGCUUCAUUUUGGACAUUGUGAGUUCUUUACUGUAAUGAAUGGUGAUGGUCAGUGUUGUUAGAGAGGGAGUUCAGCUGUAGAUUCAGUGCAGUGCUGUGUGUUGAUCUUGAGGGAGUUUGGCUGAAUUAAGCUGAACAUCUGGUGAAAGUGCUGCUCUAUUCUGGGAGAAAGAGGACGACUCAGGCCUGUUCAUGCAAAUCUGAGUCUCACCCCACUGCUCUCUCUCUCUCUGUCUGACUGUUUACUGCUUAAAACUGCUGGUUUGUGUUCAGCUGGGUGGGCUGUGGGGGGCUGGUUUCACUUCUUACUUUAGUGCUGCU